rnacentral:rRNA from 1 species
GAUGAACGCUUGCGGGAGGCCUAACACAUGCAAGCCGAGCGGUAUUGUUUCUUCGGAAAUGAGAGAGCGGCGUACGGGUGCGGAACACGUGUGCAACCUGCCUUUAUCUGGGGGAUAGCCUUUCGAAAGGAAGAUUAAUACUCCAUAAUAUAUUGAACGGCAUCGUUUAAUAUUGAAAGCUCCGGCGGAUAGAGAUGGGCACGCGCAAGAUUAGCUAGUUGGUGAGGUAACGGCUCACCAAGGCGAUGAUCUUUAGGGGGCCUGAGAGGGUGAUCCCCCACACUGGUACUGAGACACGGACCAGACUCCUACGGGAGGCAGCAGUGAGGAAUACUGGUCAAUGGGUGCAAGCCUGAACCAGCCAUCCCGCGUGAAGGACGACUGCCCUAUGGGUUGUAAACUUCUUUUGUAUAGGGAUAAACCUACCCUCGUGAGGGUAGCUGAAGGUACUAUACGAAUAAGCACCGGCUAACUCCGUGCCAGCAGCCGCGGCAAUACGGAGGGUGCAAGCGUUAUCCGGAUUUAUUGGGUUUAAAGGGUCCGUAGGCGGACUUAUAAGUCAGUGGUGAAAGCCUGUCGCUUAACGAUAGAACUGCCAUUGAUACUGUAAGUCUUGAGUAUAUUUGAGGUAGCUGGAAUAAGUAGUGUAGCGGUGAAAUGCAUAGAUAUUACUUAGAACACCAAUUGCGAAGGCAGGUUACCAAGAUAUAACUGACGCUGAGGGACGAAAGCGUGGGGAGCGAACAGGAUUAGAUACCCUGGUAGUCCACGCCGUAAACGAUGCUAACUCGUUUUUGGGCUUUAGGGUUCAGAGACCAAGCGAAAGUGAUAAGUUAGCCACCUGGGGAGUACGCUCGCAAGAGUGAAACUCAAAGGAAUUGACGGGGGCCCGCACAAGCGGUGGAUUAUGUGGUUUAAUUCGAUGAUACGCGAGGAACCUUACCAAGACUUAAAUGGGAAUUGACAGCUUUAGAAAUAGAGCUUUCUUCGGACAAUUUUCAAGGUGCUGCAUGGUUGUCGUCAGCUCGUGCCGUGAGGUGUUAGGUUAAGUCCUGCAACGAGCGCAACCCCUGUCACUAGUUGCCAUCAUUCAGUUGGGGACUCUAGUGAGACUGCCUACGCAAGUAGAGAGGAAGGUGGGGAUGACGUCAAAUCACCACGGCCCUUACGUCUUGGGCCACACACGUAAUACAAUGGCCGGUACAGAGGGCAGCUACACAGCGAUGUGAUGCAAAUCUCGAAAGCCGGUCUCAGUUCGGAUUGGAGUCUGCAACUCGACUCUAUGAAGCUGGAAUCGCUAGUAAUCGCGCAUCAGCCAUGGCGCGGUGAAUACGUUCCCGGGCCU